CCCUUAGAUGUUCUGGGCAGCACGCGCGCUACACUGAUGCGCUCAACGAGUUUAUGACCUUGCCCGGAAGGGUUGGGUAAUCUUUUCAAAACGCAUCGUGAUGGGGAUAGAUUAUUGCAAUUAUUAAUCUUCAACGAGGAAUUCCUAGUAAGCGCGAGUCAUCAGCUCGUGCUGAUUACGUCCCUGCCCUUUGUACACACCGCCCGUCGCUCCUACCGAUUGAAUGUUCCGAUGAAUACCAUGGACUGAGAGUAUGAAUGGGUUCGCCUAUUUCUGCUUCUCGGGAAGUGGAGUAAACCUUAACAUUUAGAGGAAGGAGAAGUCGUAACA
rnacentral:rRNA from 1 species